rnacentral:rRNA from 1 species
UACGGGGGGAGCAAGCGUUGUUCGGAUUUACUGGGCGUAAAGCGUGCGCAGGCGGUUUUGUAAGCCAGAUGUGAAAUCCCCGGGCUCAACCUGGGAAUUGCGAUGAAGACUGCAAGGCUUGAAUCUGGCAGAGGGGGGUAGAAUUCCACGUGUAGCAGUGAAAUGCGUAGAGAUGUGGAGGAACACCGAUGGCGAAGGCAGCCCCCUGGGUCAAGAUUGACGCUCGAUGCACGAAAGCGUGGGGAGCAAACAGG